rnacentral:tRNA from 1 species
GGACGCGUAGCUCAGUGGUAGAGCGCCAACCUUAUAAGUUGGAAGUCCUUGGUCCGAUCCCAAGCGCGUCCA